rnacentral:rRNA from 1 species
UACGUAGGGUGCAAGCGUUGUCCGGAAUUAUUGGGCGUAAAGAGCUCGUAGGCGGUUUGUCACGUCGGAUGUGAAACCCUGAGGCUCAACCUCAGGCCUGCAUUCGAUACGGGCAGACUAGAAUUCGGCAGGGGAGACUGGAAUUCCUGGUGUAGCGGUGAAAUGCGCAGAUAUCAGGAGGAACACCGGUGGCGAAGGCGGGUCUCUGGGACGGUACUGACGCUGAGACGCGAAAGCGUGGGGAGCGAACAGG